AACGAACGCUGGCGGCAUGCCUAACACAUGCAAGUCGAACGAGACCUUCGGGUCUAGUGGCGCACGGGUGCGUAACGCGUGGGAACCUGCCCUUAGGUUCGGAAUAACUCCCCGAAAGGGGUGCUAAUACCGGAUAAUGUCUUCGGACCAAAGAUUUAUCGCCUUUGGAUGGGCCCGCGUUGGAUUAGCUAGUUGGUAGGGUAAAAGCCUACCAAGGCGACGAUCCAUAGCUGGUCUGAGAGGAUGAUCAGCCACACUGGGACUGAGACACGGCCCAGACUCCUACGGGAGGCAGCAGUGGGGAAUAUUGGACAAUGGGCGAAAGCCUGAUCCAGCAAUGCCGCGUGAGUGAUGAAGGCCUUAGGGUUGUAAAGCUCUGUUACCCGGGAUGAUAAUGACAGUACCGGGAGAAUAAGCGCCGGCUAACUCCGUG
rnacentral:rRNA from 1 species